GUACAACCGAGCACGGCGCCCAAUGCAGAGACCUCCAUGCCAAGGAGGGGCGCAAACAAGGCUGUCUGCGCGCCGUGUGAAGCGUAGAUGCCCGCCGUGAUGAUGAUGCGGUCGACCUCGCGCGCAAUGGCCCCGAGUCGACCGCUGUCAUACACGUGGGGAACAAUGACCAUGUGCGUGCCCGACUGGCGGGCCAUGGUGGCGAGGCGCCUCAUUUUGCCGCAAGCACCGGCCUGGUCGGUGUAAUCGGCGACGCUCCGACCGUCGAGCAACAGCGUGCGCGGCCCGUCCAAAUGAGACGCGGCAAACUUGGGGCACCGCGAAAAGGCAAUGGCAAGACCAAUGUCCUCUUCGAGAUUGUAGUCACUGCCGGGCGAAAAGGGACGAACCAUCGAUCCGAGGAGGGGCGCGUCGCGUGGGCCGCCGCGCAUGCGAUUCAUCUCGCACAGCAUGCGCGUCUCGAUGAACCGCGCUGUGGUGGUCUUGCCCGAUGGACCAUGCGCCCCCAGCACGAGCGUCGCCGAACCUCGGUCAUUGGAGAGGACGCCACCAAAAUCCUGCCACUCGUACACGCGCGUGCCGUUGAUGACGACAGACGGCGGGGCGAGCGUCGCGCAAAUCCUCCUGGCUGCGCGAUCAAACUCGGCAAGGGCGACCAUGGGCCAAUGCGAGGCGACCCACGACCGCGCCGCCCUGUAGCAACCCGCCUUGCGCACGCCGCGCGCAAGAUAGGCAUCAAACACGCGCUCUAGCGGCAACGAGGGCAGCCGAUCAAAGCCAAAAGCAUCGUGCGCUGCGGUGUCGAGGGCGCCUGCCGCGUCGCAGAGUGACCGGCUAUUUUUGUUGUUGUCUUGCAUUGUCUGUCUGUCGCAAGAGUUUGGACAACAAAGACGAUAUGCUUGGCGCCGUCGGCAGCGGGCGCCAAUGGCAACGCAC
rnacentral:lncRNA from 1 species